AUGGCAAAGCUCACGUCAUACAGUCAUUUUAGGCAUCAGCACUUUGGGCACACACAUGAUUUCCAAACAUCAAUUUCAAUGAAUGCAUCUUCAAAGUACUUGGAAGGGAUUUGCAGCCCUGCUAGCAAAUUGGGAAUACAGGCCGUUCCUGCCUUUUUUGGAGAGGAACAGAACGAAAGCAAAAAGUUUCCAAGAGCCGGAGCAGGAAAAAUGCUAAGCAGGACUUUGGUACAAAAGUCUUGUUCAACACCGACAGAAACUAUGACUGAUGAACACAGCCACUUAAAAGUCACUUAUAGGUAA
rnacentral:lncRNA from 1 species